UACGUCAGCGGCCCUGGGCUGAGAUUUGAGAACGCGACCAAGUGGAGAAUGUUGGAGCCAGAUUUUAAAAUCCUUGUCUUCCUUCUGCGUGCUACUUGAUCUAAAUGAGAUACGGCAAAGUCACAGAACCUGUUUUUAUGUUUUUGCCUGAUUCAUACGGGCUUCUCCGGUGAAGAUGGGCCUGAAGUAACGCUUGGGUUGCUUCUGACGUUAUAACUCAUCCUGUAGCUGCAGCAACCGUGGUCCUUGCAACCUCAUAAAAAUGUUGCCAGCAUUGUUUCGAUAGUGCUGCUUAAUUCUUGGAAGGUUCUUCGGACUUCACACAUUCCAGCAGUAGCUCUCUCAGCUCCUGUCCUGCACAGCUUUGAAGUGCUGGAUACAGCAAGGCCCCAAUCUGCAAGCCAGGAAGAGUCGUCACGAGAACCAGACCAUGCAGGAACUCUGAUCGUGGACAUUUCAACCUCCAGAACUGUGAUCCAAAAUGCAUAUGUAUCUUUGGAAGAAACUCUGAAGUAAAGGCCGGAAUAUUCUUUGUUUAAAACAUUAAAAACAAAACAGACCAAAGCAUCAAGCAAGAAGUUUCCUGGCAAUAAACUAAGCACAGCAUUAUUUUUUAAGGAACACAAAUUAAGUGUUCAACCUGUGGCAAAUUUGUACUUUCUCCCUGAAUUAUGUUGUUAUCAAAGAAAAAAAUUGGGAAGCAUGGCAAAAUAUCAUCAAAACUGAAACUAGAA
rnacentral:lncRNA from 1 species